AAUGCUUAUGCAUUAUUUGACGUUGAUUUUGUGUGUUUCCCCCUUCCUGAAGGUACAAGAAAACCAGCUGAUCGGUGAAUGAGGGGCGCAUCUGCAAUCCCAUCAAACAAAAAAAUAAAGCUUUUCGGAUCUACUGUAUUACAUUUAGAAAACAGUAAAGUGAGAUUUAUUGGAUAUGCAUGAAUAACCAUGUACAUAGAACCAUCAGGUUUAGUUUUAUUAAGCCCGUCGCACACAGCUCGACUCAAGCCGUCCCGACUCAUCUCAUCUGAGUUUGCACAGAUUCCGCGAUCAGCUGUGCUCAGUUUUGGUUUGAUGACUGCCCAGUCCCUGACCACAUUCCGGCGCCUCCUUAAGACUCACCUCUUCAAACAGCACCUAUAGAACUCCUCUGUUUGUAUCCUGGGACACUAUCACCCUUCAUUUAAAUGUGCUUUAUUUUGCUCUUAUCUGCCCCCUAUUUUACUGCAUUUAAUCCUGUACUUCAGAAUACUGUAAUCUGCCAAGUGUUUAACCUGUAGUACUUUGUAUUUAAUCACAUCCUGAUGUAACUAUCACUAUUUAAUCAUAUCCUGAUGUAACUAUCACUAUUAUCUGCUGUAUUAUUGAAUUGUGGUUUGUCACACUUGUACUUUGCUUGAACAAAAGUUAUUGUAUUUCUUGCUCUUAUUGUAUUACUUGUAUUGUAACGCUUGAAAUGUAUUUGCUUACGAUUGUAAAUCGCCCUGGAUAAGGGUGUCUGCUAAGAAAUAAAUAAUAAUAAUAAUAAUUGAGUUUUUCCCAACUGGGAAAGACUGAAUUAGACUGAUACUGCCCUGUACACAUUUUUUUAUUAACUUAGCCCAAAAUAGUGACCCUCACAUUAUGCACGGUAUCAUAUGCUGAUUAGACAGCAGAGACAGUGCCGUGAGGCAACAAAAAAGAAGCGUUUAUCCUAUUAAUUUAGCUAUUGAACAUUUACACCCUGCAAACAUUUCAAGCAGUGUUUUUGUAUAGUUUGUCUACUACACUUUAGCCUGUGAUAAAUAAAAUCCAACAUGUUGAUUUUUAUUUGA